rnacentral:sRNA from 1 species
AGGGGCGGCCCUCCUUGGGCGUUUCCUCCCUAAACUCGGGCCGGUCAUCCUUCGGAGUGGCCGGCCUUUUUCGUUUCAGCG